rnacentral:rRNA from 1 species
UACGUAGGGGGCAAGCGUUGUCCGGAUUUAUUGGGCGUAAAGCGCGUGUAGGCGGCCCCGCAGGUCCGCUGUGAAAACUCGAGGCUCAACCUCGAGCUGUCGGUGGAAACCGCGUGGCUAGAGUCCGGAAGAGGGGACUGGAAUUCCCGGUGUAGCGGUGGAAUGCGCAGAUAUCGGGAGGAACACCGAUGGCGAAGGCAGCUCGCUGGGACGGUACUGACGCUGAGGCGCGAAAGCGUGGGGAGCGAACAGG